CUUCGUGGUGGCGUGUGCAGUGCAGAGGGGGACGGGUGGCGCACCAGAUGCACUUGGUCAGGUAGAGGAGGAGAGGGACAAGCACUGGCGGGCACCGUGAGGGAAGGGGAAGGGGUCAGGUGCCCAGGAAAGCGGCUCCGAGGAGCCGUGGGCCCCUGUGUCCCUGUCUCCCGGGUCCAGUCCGGGGGGGGGGGGGGAGAUGACGCUGGCUCGGCCUCCGGUUGCUGCAUGUGCAUCGCUGCCCUGCAUCUGGCCGGGAGAGCGGUCGCCCUCGAUCCCCUGCCUAAGGCAGAGCGGGGAAGCUACUGUCUCUCCUGCGAGGACUGGGCUGCUGGGGGCUCCUCUGGGUGCAGGGCACUGUGAUGUGUGAGCCCCUUGCCCGAAUCAGGCCCUCAAUGUUACUCACACUGGGAAGCUUUCUCAAGCGUCGUGAAGGACGGAGGAUUCAGACCCAAUUUAGCUAUUGUGUAGGACACUGGGAAUGUUUGGGCUGCUGCUGGACACACGGGGCUUGCUGCUGAAAGUUCUGUGUUCAGGGAGAAAUUUCCUAUGGGAGGAGUGAGGGACGUGAGGUGCUUGACAAGUAGCCUGAUUCAGGUGGAGCGGAAGUUAGGCAAGUUUGAGACAGCGCUGCUGGUGAUGAGGAGGAGGAGAUGUGUGUCUGUGCAUGUGUGUACGUGUGCGUGUGUGAGAGAGAGAUGGCGGGGAGUACCAGGGAGACAGACACCAUGAAUUGUCCCUUCCUGUCUUUAUGACACAAGGUCAGAGGCUGCCUCUAAACCAAGAUGGCGAACCUUUUAGAGCUUUUAAUGACACGCACGGCCAGCUGUGGCUCACGAGCCUGGGUGCCCACCAGGGCCCUGGGGCCGCAUCAGCACUGUGGGUAACAGGCCUCGGGCCUGUCAGUCAGUCGGUAUGAGACAGCUGGGCGAGUCUCAUUUGUGUGGUGACCAGCCGAGCACACUGAUAGCCAUUAGUUCUUUGGGCCCAAGGUCGUGAAAUAGUUACUAUUAUUCACACCUGUCACAAAUGUAGAACCUUAACUAGCAGAGAAGUGUAAUGUCUUGCUGGAAGUCAGGUCUUUGAGAAGGCAAUGCAGGGCUCGAUUCCGGAACUUUCAGGCAACGAAUGUGCACAGUCUCCGUGUGGAGUGGUUCUCAAACCAGGGGACUAACGGAAGGGUGGCCGGCAAUCCCUGGAUCCUGUGAUGCGUGUUCAAGUGGUGCCACAGGCUGCCAGCGCUCAGAGCUGUGCUUUCGUCAUCACUGGAAACAGGCUUCUCUGAAUAUGUGCAAAGAUGAGAAACUUCAGGAGGCUUUGAAGAGCUUGGAGUCACCGUUAGCACAAAGAGAUGGGCAAUUGCGGCUGGCUGUGGUGGUACAGGCUGGAACCCUACCACUGGGGAAGCUGAGGCAGGAGGAUUGGAUGUUGAAGGUCAGCCCAGGCUGUAUUCUAAGAUCGAGGCAGCCUGAAGUACAGAGAGACCCUAUCCUCCCCCAAAAAAGAUGAUCAAAUGAGGCAUACAGUCUUUAAUUAAAAAGUUUGCUGUAAUAGCAUAUUUAAAAUAUAAUAUGCUAUCAUUAUGAUGCGUGAGUGUAAAAUGAUUGGUACUGUAGGCUCACAAAAGUGGUUUAAGUGAUACGAAGCGAUUUGUGGCUUGUUCAAGUAAUUGCUUUGAAGGAUGUGGUGGACAUUUACAUGUAUAAAUGCUGGUGUGAUAUUCAAAACGGUUCUGUUCUUUUUUCACACUGCACUUUCUUUUUUCAAAUUUUUGUUUUUAUUAGUACAAGUUGCAGUGCAUCGUGAUUACACUCAUUGUAGGGAGUUGGUGGAUGCACGUAACACAUCUUCGUGCUCUUUGCUUUCCCUUCGUCUCCCUUCCCUCCUCUCUGGGUCCUCUUCCCAUUUGAGGAAGUUCUGCCUCCCUGCUUCCUAUUAUCUCUCUCGUACUUUGCUCUUUAUUUGUCCUUUGGGUUUCUCAUGUUGGAGAAACCAGGCAGGAUUUAAGCCUGUGCUUCUGACUUAUUUCACUCCACACUAUGGUCUCAAGGUGCAUCCGUUUCCCUACAAAAGACUCGUUUGUCUCGCUUAUGGCAGAGUAGUGCUCUGCCGUGUGUAAAGACCACAUUUUCUUAUCUACUGUUCUGUUGAUGGAUGUAGGCAUUUCUCCUUUCAAAGACAGACGCUGUAUCUAUCAGUUAUAAAGGCAUUCUGAAAUUAAAGCAUGCCAUUUAGAGUGUCCGUACUUAGACCAUUAAGUUACCUUUGUACUGUACUGGAAGAACAACUGCAAUGCCACUUCUGCCAUAGACGUGUGCCUCUCACUGCUACUCCUAGGCAAGGACAAUCGGUCUAGAGGAUGAAGGGCCGCAGUUCCCCCUGUUGAGAUACAAAUGGUGAAGGGGGAUCUGCUCCAGUUGAGCCCAGCCUGGUCACGUGUGCGUGGGUGCGUGUAGGUGGGACAGCCGGCAGCGCCCCUGGGAGUCAGCGCUGUGGCUGGGCAGGGCUCUCGAUGCGGGAGGGCCCCGCUGCUGUCCAGUGUCUGCCUUGGCCAAGGCUCUGCCCGCGACACCACGUUGUCACCCGCUGGACACCCACUCCCGGUCUGAUUAAGCUCCGUACCCAGCCGUUUACCGGGCAGAGGCACAGGGCCUUUCUCCUGCGACCGCCGUCAGAGUCCACUUCCUCUUUCUCCCCCUGCUGUCCACCCUGUCGGGCCUGAAGCCGCCCAUCGGGAGCGCACGCGCCUGCCCAGCCUGGGUUUGGGCCAGGGUUCUAGUGCUUUCCAGAUUUCUUGCACUUUCUAGUGCAAAUGCGUUUCUGGGUCUUCUUUAUGCUUUUUCUCCCCCUCUUCUCUUCUGCUUCCCUCCCUUCACUUUUUGGAGGCAGGAUUUCACUCUGGAGACCAGGCUGGGCUUGAGCUCUCGAUCUUCCACCCCUGCCUCCGGGUGCUGGGAUGAGGUUCGGGAAACCCAGGAGCGUUUGUGUCCGCAGCGGUGGGAAGGACGAUGAGCAUCGUCUUCCGAGCGCAGCUGCCCUUGAAGCUGCUGCUCUGCCGUCUGACCCCUGGGGCGCCUCCCCGCGGGGCCUGCCCGUUGGGUCGCCCUCUGCCCGCGGCUGGGCCGGUCCGCGGCCUCGCACCCCGCCGCGCACGGGUCCUUCCCCGGGCCGGGUCGCACAGCUCCUGCGACACACUUUCAAACCGGCCCCGCCGUCCGUUACGUCUCGAGACCUCUCGUAAUGAAAGUACUCGGUUCAGAACAGGAAUAAUAAUGUGAAGCAAAUGAAAACGAAGGCGUCUAGGCAAGGUUUGCGGUAGAAGGAACAACGUACUGCUAUCUUGUGAAGAAGUGUUGCCAGGGCGACAGGCCUGGAAAUGGGCAAGUGACAGGAAAGGACAUGUGAUUUCUUCUGUGUGUGCACCUGCUGAUGUGAGAGCUGAGUACUAUGCUGUCCUCUCCAGCCACCAGAAUCAUGAUCCAAGUAAACUUCCUUACUUUACUGUCUGAAUCUCUCCCUCUGCUUGAAAUGCAUCAUGUAGUCAUUCCCAUGGGAAGGUUCUGAUUAAAGACAAAUCUGAUACGUGAGUUAGUUACAAUCUGCUGCCAGGUAUGGGAAAGGAAUAGAACCUUGGAUUCCAGACGAUGCACUAUUUCUUAUUCCACCCAGAGCAAUAUCUUCACUUACAGGACUUCUAUCUUCACCAAGUCAGUAUGCAAGGCCUUGUGACCUGUCCUCAGGAGUUGUGCAGGUUUUGGUACAUCAUCCGAGGUGGCCUUGAACUCUUUGUAGGCUGAGCUGUCCUCAAACUCAUGACACUCCUGCCUCAGCCUCCCAAAAGCUGCGAUUACAGGCACAGACCAUGUGGUGCAGGCUGGGAUCUGGAGAAGAAAAGAGGAGAAUUAGAGGAAGGUGUAAGAGGACACAGUGACCACCUUGCUAAACUAAGUUUUUACCUUCACAUCCCCAAAGGACACCAGUGUGUCUUCCAGUGCGAAAUACAUAAUUUGAAAUAAAUUAAUUUGGUCACUAAAGGUGGAAAUGGGGCCAAAACAUAUCCAAGUGCAUCCCUGUUCACUCAAAGUUACACUGCCCACAGCAAGAGCACCAUUAGUGACGUGGCCACGUAGGAGCUUGUGGGACCAGCUAUGAAAUGAACACACAUAGCGCUGAGCUUGGACAGAAGAGCAGGUGCUGGCUAAACUCAACUGUCAGAUGCCUCUGGGAUGUCACAGAACGUACAUGGCAUAGACUACACAAGAGUCCGUCUGAAGUUCAGCUGAAGAGCUGGACAAACUUGCCGGAUGAGAAUAUGAGUCAGCUCUUGAGAAGGAUACAGUGGAAGUCUUUCUCCUGCUUAUCACUGAGAAUUCAUGCUACAGCAGAGGAGGUUUUGAAGGCUGUGUAACUGAUGAUUUCCUGUGCCACAGUACAGACAAGACGGUGCAUCAGGGUAGUAUUCAUGGACCACCAGUGUAUGUGUUCGGAAAAAAGCCUCACCAAGGUGAUGACCCAGAUGCCAACAUCUGCCUGAAAAGAGGAAUUCCUCUAUUCCCAGAGAAGAGCCAGCGGUUAGCAGCAUGCCUCUGAUCUUAAGCAUUAAAGGGAAAAAAUUUUUUAAA
ensembl:lncRNA